CACGUAAGGCGCAAGCGUUGUUCGGAAUUAUUGGGCGUAAAGGGCUCGUAGGCGGCCUGCCAAGUCUUUCGUGAAAUACCAGGGCUCAACCCUGGAAGCGCGAGGGAAACUGGCAAGCUUGAAUCUUGGAGGGGGUACUGGAAUUCCUAGUGUAGGGGUGAAAUCUGUUGAUAUUAGGAAGAACACCGGUGGCGAAGGCGAGUACCUGGCCAAAGAUUGACGCUGAUGAGCGAAAGCGUAGGUAGCGAACAGG
rnacentral:rRNA from 1 species